UACGUAGGCAGCGAGCGUUGUUCGGAGUUACUGGGCGUAAAGCGUGCGUAGGCGGUGAUCUAAGUCUGUUGUGAAAUCUCCCGGCUUAACCGGGAGGGUGCGGCGGAAACUGGGUUGCUGGAGUGCGGGAGAGGUAAGCGGAAUUCCCGGUGUAGCGGUGAAAUGCGUAGAUAUCUGGAGGAACACCGGUGGCGAAGGCGGCAUCCUGGACCGGUAUUGACGCUGAGGAGCGAAAGCCAGGGGAGCAAACGGG
rnacentral:rRNA from 1 species